rnacentral:rRNA from 1 species
AUUGAACGCUGGCGGCAGGCCUAACACAUGCAAGUCGAACGGUAACAGGAAGCAGCUUGCUGCUUCGCUGACGAGUGGCGGACGGGUGAGUAAUGUCUGGGAAACUGCCUGAUGGAGGGGGAUAACUACUGGAAACGGUAGCUAAUACCGCAUAACGUCGCAAGACCAAAGAGGGGGACCUUAGGGCCUCUUGCCAUCGGAUGUGCCCAGAUGGGAUUAGCUAGUAGGUGGGGUAACGGCUCACCUAGGCGACGAUCCCUAGCUGGUCUGAGAGGAUGACCAGCCACACUGGAACUGAGACACGGUCCAGACUCCUACGGGAGGCAGCAGUGGGGAAUAUUGCACAAUGGGCGCAAGCCUGAUGCAGCCAUGCCGCGUGUAUGAAGAAGGCCUUCGGGUUGUAAAGUACUUUCAGCGGGGAGGAAGGGAGUAAAGUUAAUACCUUUGCUCAUGGACGUUACCCGCAGAAGAAGCACCGGCUAACUCCGU